rnacentral:rRNA from 1 species
GAUAAACGCUGGCGGCGUGCAUGAGACAUGCAAGUCGAACGAAGGAUCGGGCUUGCUCGAUCCUUAGUGGCGGACGCCUGAGUAACGCGUGGUUAACCUACCCCGAAGGGGGGAAUAACUGCCCGAAAGGGGGGCUAAUACCCCAGGUGGUCGCACGUUAUUUGGUGGGAGUAAAGCCGCAAGGCGCUUCGGGAGGGGCCUGCGUCCGAUUAGCUCGUUGGUGGGGUAAUGGCUUACCAAGGCGACGAUCGGUAGGUGGUCUGAGAGGACGAUCACCCAGACUGGGACUGAGACACGGCCCAGACUCCUACGGGAGGCAGCAGUCGGGAAUUUUGCUCAAUGGGGGAAACCCUGAAGCAGCAACGCCGCGUGAGGGAUGAAGGCCUUCGGGUUGUAAACCUCUUUUGUCAGGGACGAUGAUGACGGUACCUGGCGAAUAAGCCACGGCUAACUACGUG